GUGCUCACUGCUAUAAGCACAUGCAACCAAAAUCUGAACAAUACAGAGAGAAUUAACAUGACCUCGGCACAAGGAUGUCACCAAUGUGUGAAGUAUUCAUGUAUUAA
ensembl:snRNA U6 U6 spliceosomal RNA